AAUUUGUUCUUUUCAGCAAAUUCGUAAAUAUUGGCAGCCUGUUCAAAGCUUUUAAAGCGCAUAAAUUUUGUUGCACCGAUAUCAGUCUCUCGUCGGACCAUUGGGAACCUGUUAGUCAUGAUAUACCAACAGCUGCAUAAUAAUUGAAGAGAAAAGCGAAUACAAAUAGGAAAAAACCAAACAUUAAUUACUGUAAUAUUUGCUGAUGAAAAAAUUGUAAAAUGUCAUAAUUUGUAAAAUAAUGUAUAAAUAGAAUAGUACAAUUUAAAAUACAGUUGUUCGAAAGAGAAAAUUUAAUAAAAGAGAGUUGAUUGAAAAUAUUUGGAAAAAAAACACAGCAAAUUGGCAUUUAUUUGGUUACGUAGUUUUAACAAAAUAAAUAAACAGGCAUUUUAAAGUGAAAUGUGAAGAAAAAGCGCACAGACAAAUCAAAUUUCCAUAACAAAAGUAAAAAUUAAUAAAACCAAAUGCGAAAGCAACUUUAAAUUAAAAACCUCAGCUGUUAAAGCUUAAGUCUCGUAUUGCCGCCACACUUUAUUAUUAUCGAUGGAAAUUAAAGGCAGAGCAAACUUUUGGUAGCUGAAUAAAUUUUCGUAGCAGGCAGAGAGAGUAAUGAAAAUGUAACAAAAACAAAAAUAAAAACAAGAGCAAAAACAAAAAUAAGAAUAAAAACAAAAAAAA